UCAAGUCGUGAUCGGGGGAAAAACAAAGUUUACGAGGAAUAGGCUCGAUUGUUAAAAAUUUUGUACCGAGUUUUAACAAGCCGGCUUGAGAAUUGGUAUAGGUCGAAGACUUGUUCACACAAUCCGAAGGCCUAAAUUGGUAAAAUGGCUUGUGUGUUUUGAAUGUGGCAUGUAUGGCAAAAUACUCACUUUGUAUAAAUGAUCUUAUGAUAUGGCUAUGGUUUGGAAAGAAAAGGGUUUGUAAAUGAUUAGCCAUUAGAAUGGCCAAUCAAAGUCAUAUUUGAUGUUAUGUAUGUUUAAAAUGCUAUUUAGUCCAUGAAAAUCCUUAAUAAAGUGAAAUCUGCCAUAAAACAGAAUCUGACAGCAGCAGUGAUGUAAAUUUGAAAAA